ensembl:lncRNA
UAGGCCAAACCGGAAGACGGUUUCUCGAGUUCACGCGGGAAUUUAUGAUGGAGUUAUACUAAAAUAGCGGGUUUCGAUUUAGGGUUAAAAGAAGGUAGGCUUAUGUAUAGUUAACAUCACUUGAAGAGACGUUUAAGUGUACUACAACGCUAAUUUGACAAGAGUCUAUCAAGUGACAGGCUUAUCUAAUUAUGGAUUUGGUGCCUUUCCAGACUCCAUAGUGACCUCAAACUGUGCAAUAUCCGCCUUCACUGUCUCUCAGGAUGGUCUUCACCUGGCCUGUGGGCCAGAGAUUAUAGGCAGAGAGAUGGGGCGAAGAGAUGACAUUAUACCGAGGGAGAAUUUCAGUCCAUUCAUCUCUGCACCACGACUGCUGAUGGGACUCUGGCGCAAGAGCCUGCUUGCGGCGAUGCAAGCCUGUUGCAGUGCCUUUUGGGUUUGCCUUCUCAGCAUGGAAUAAAUGUAAUACUGCCUCAGAUUUUGGCCCCAAGAAGUAUCUUGGAGAGUGCACCUAUGAUUGGGAUGAAUGAAUGUCCCAUAGGUUUCGAAUGACAUGAGGGUCCGAGUUGAAGUGCUGCUAUGAAAUACAGGAGAAAAUGGCAGCGAGUGCAUGAUGUUCACCAGUCUUGUAUCUGAAGACUUAUUUGGAUGGACUUAUUUUUGUAGGAAGAGCUCAGUUCUGCUGGGAUACCAUCCAAUUUAAAGAGGGAAUCAAUAAGGAGUCCGAUCAUGGAAACUGUUCAGAUCAGCCACUGGAGUAGCACCGACUGAUGUCAGUUGAAGGACUGGAGUCAUGUGGAUCAGCUGUUUGAACUCUCAUUCUGACGGCACCCAUUCACUGCAGAGGAUCCAUUAGUGAGCAAGUGAUCUCAUCUACUGCUUUGGAUCGCCUGAAGGGUGAGUGGGAGGUGUGCUGAUGUUGACCCAGAAGUGAAGUGAUGCGUGGAGGACAGACAGCAGUGUCAGCAGGAGAGAACAGGUUUCUUAACAGGUCUCCCAUUCAUGGUACUCUCAGUUGAGACAGAGGAUUCAGGGCUGGACUAGCAGUGUUGACAGCUGUGAAACCCAUGAACAAGAGGAGCAGGACUGUGUGCAUGUGUGCUUGCAGAUGU